AUGAGCAGCAAGGCGGAGACCCAGCAGCCGCCCGCUGCCCCGGCCGCCCGCCACCCUCAGUGCCGCAGACACCAAGCCCGGCUCCAGGGGCAGAGGCACGGGUAGUGGCAGCCCGGGGAAGCCUCACAUCGGUGGCAAGGGACAAGAAGGUCAUCGCAAUGAAGGUUUUAGGAACAGUAAAAUGGUUCAAUGUAAGGAACGGAUAUGGUUUCAUCAACAGGAAUGACACCAAGGAAAACGUAUUUGUACACCCAGACUGCCAUAAAGAAGAAUAACCCCAGGAAGUACCUUCGCAGUGUAGGAGAUGGAGAGACUGUGGAGUUUGAUGUUGUUGAAGGAGAAAAGGGUAUGGAGGCGGCAAAUGUUACAAGCCCUGGUGGAGUUCCAGUUUAAGGCAGUAAAUACUCAGCAGACCAUAACCAUUACAGAAACUUUCUUUGGCGUAGGAGUCCUCCAUGCAAUUACCAGAAAAAAUAUCAGAAUAGUGAGAGUGGGGAAAAGAACGAGGGAUCGGAAAGUGCUUCUGAAGGCCAGGCUCAACAACGCCAGCCCUAUCGCAGGCGAAGACUCCCACCUUACUACAUGUGGAGACGCUAUGCGCUGACCACAGUAUUCCAACUCCCCUGUGCAAGGAGAAGUGAUGGAGAGUGCUGACAACCAGAGUACAGGAGAGCAAGGUAGAUCAGUGAGACAGAAUAUGUAUGGGGUUACAGACCACGAUUCCGCAGGGGCCCUCCUCGCCAAAGACAGCCUAGAGAGGAUGGCAAUGAAGAGGACAAAGAAAAUCAAGGAGAUGAGAUCCAAGGUCAGCAGCCAUCUUGUAUCCUGCAACUUCAGUUACCAAUGCAGACGCCCAGAGAACCCUAAACCACAAGGUGGCAAAGAGCCAAAAGCAGGCAUACUUAAACGGGUUGAGUGA